ACAUAUACUAAUUUUUUUCAUUGCUAAAUUACAUAAAACCCUCCUAUCAAAACCCGAUUUUUCACUUUUCCCCAUGUCAUUUAAAAACCUACACUUUGCCCUCUUGUAAAAUGAAAUAUGUUCACUUUGCCCCCUACCGAUAGUAAUUUGUUAGGGUUUCAUUUAUAAAAUAUUAUUAUAUAUUUUUUUAUGACAAAAAUGCUCUCAGCCUUCUCUCCUGUGAACAUGGUGAGAUGCAAAAUGGUGAGGGGCAAAAUGAUUAUUUUAUCAUCACAGUUCACACCGUACCCCCUCGUGAAUAUUUUUCAUUUUAUAAGAGGGUAAAGUGUAGGUUUUUAAAUGACAGGGAGAAAGUGAAAAAUCGAGUUUUGACAAAGGGGUUUUCUGUAAUUUAGCCUUUUUUCAAAGACAAUAUUAUAUUAUUA
rnacentral:lncRNA from 1 species